rnacentral:rRNA from 1 species
AACGAACGCUGGCGGCAUGCCUAACACAUGCAAGUCGAACGAGACCUUCGGGUCUAGUGGCGCACGGGUGCGUAACGCGUGGGGAUCUGCCCUUUGCUUCGGAAUAACAGUUAGAAAUGACUGCUAAUACCGGAUGAUGUCGUAAGACCAAAGAUUUAUCGGCAAAGGAUGAACCCGCGUAGGAUUAGCUAGUUGGUGGGGUAAAGGCCUACCAAGGCGACGAUCCUUAGCUGGUCUGAGAGGAUGAUCAGCCACACUGGGACUGAGACACGGCCCAGACUCCUACGGGAGGCAGCAGUGGGGAAUAUUGGACAAUGGGGGCGAACCCUGAUCCAGCAAUGCCGCGUGAGUGAUGAAGGCCUUAGGGUUGUAAAGCUCUUUUGCCAGGGACGAUGAUGACGGUACCUGGAGAAUAAGCCCCGGCUAACUUCGUGCCAGCAGCCGCGGUAAGGUGACGCUCU